rnacentral:rRNA from 1 species
ACUCAAAUGAAUUGACGGGGGCCCGCACAAGCGGCGGAGCGUGCGGUUUAAUUCGACGCAACGCGCAGAACCUUACCAGGGCUUGACAUGCACCUGCAGAGCGCCGAAAGGCGAUGUCCUUCGAGGGUGGUGCACAGGUGCUGCAUGGCUGUCGUCAGCUCGUGUCGUGAGAUGUUGGGUUAAGUCCCGCAACGAGCGCAACCCUCGCGGCCAGUUACGUGGAUGUCUGGCCGGACUGCCGGUAGCAAGCCGGAGGAAGGCGGGGAUGACGUCAAGUCAGCAUGGCCCUUACGUCCUGGGCUACACGCACGCUACAAUGGAACGGACAAUGGGUAGCCAAACCGCAAGGUGGAGCGAAUCCUCACCAAACCGUUCCUCAGUUCAGAUUGUGGGCUGCAACUCGCCCGCAUGAAGGUGGAGUCGCUAGUAACCGCAGGUCAGCAUUACUGCGGUGAAUACGUUCCCGGGCCUUGUACACACCGCCCGU